GACGAACGCUGGCGGCGUGCUUAAUACAUGCAAGUCGAGCGAAGUUUUUCUGGUGCUUGCACCGGAAAAACUUAGCGGCGAACGGGUGAGUAACACGUAAAGAACCUGCCUCAUAGACUGGGACAACUAUUGGAAACGAUAGCUAAUACCGGAUAACAGCAUUAACUGCAUGGUUGAUGUUUAAAAGUUGGUUUUGCUAACACUAUGAGAUGGCUUUGCGGUGCAUUAGCUAGUUGGUGGGGUAAAGGCCUACCAAGGCGACGAUGCAUAGCCGACCUGAGAGGGUGAUCGGCCACACUGGGACUGAGACACGGCCCAGACUCCUACGGGAGGCAGCAGUAGGGAAUCUUCCGCAAUGGGCGAAAGCCUGACGGAGCAACGCCGCGUGAGUGAAGAAGGAUUUCGGUUCGUAAAGCUCUGUUGUUAGGGAAGAAUGAUUGUGUAGUAACUAUACACAGUAGAGACGGUACCUAACCAGAAAGCCACGGCUAA
rnacentral:rRNA from 1 species